rnacentral:rRNA from 1 species
UACGUAGGCAGCAAGCGUUGUUCGGAGUUACUGGGCGUAAAGGGUGUGUAGGCGGUUAUUUAAGUUUGGUGUGAAAUCUCCCGGCUCAACCGGGAGGGUGCGCCGAAUACUGAAUGACUUGGAGUGCGGGAGAGGAAAGUGGAAUUCCUGGUGUAGCGGUGAAAUGCGUAGAUAUCAGGAGGAACACCGGUGGUGUAGACGGCUUUCUGGACCGUAACUGACGCUGAGACACGAAAGCGUGGGGAGCAAACAGG